GACGAACGCUGGCGGCGUGCUUAACACAUGCAAGUCGAACGGAAAGGCCCUGCUUUUGUGGGGUGCUCGAGUGGCGAACGGGUGAGUAACACGUGAGUAACCUGCCCUUGACUUUGGGAUAACUUCAGGAAACUGGGGCUAAUACCGGAUAGGAGCUCCUGCUGCAUGGUGGGGGUUGGAAAGUUUCGGCGGUUGGGGAUGGACUCGCGGCUUAUCAGCUUGUUGGUGGGGUAGUGGCUUACCAAGGCUUUGACGGGUAGCCGGCCUGAGAGGGUGACCGGCCACAUUGGGACUGAGAUACGGCCCAGACUCCUACGGGAGGCAGCAGUGGGGAAUAUUGCACAAUGGGCGGAAGCCUGAUGCAGCAACGCCGCGUGCGGGAUGACGGCCUUCGGGUUGUAAACCGCUUUCGCCUGUGACGAAGCGUGAGUGACGGUAAUGGGUAAAGAAGCACCGGCUAACUACGUGCCAGCAGCCGCGGUGAUACGUAGGGUGCGAGCGUUGUCCGGAUUUAUUGGGCGUAAAGGGCUCGUAGGUGGUUGAUCGCGUCGGAAGUGUAAUCUUGGGGCUUAACCCUGAGCGUGCUUUCGAUACGGGUUGACUUGAGGAAGGUAGGGGAGAAUGGAAUUCCUGGUGGAGCGGUGGAAUGCGCAGAUAUCAGGAGGAGCACCAGUGGCGAAGGCGGUUCUCUGGGCCUUUCCUGACGCUGAGGAGCGAAAGCGUGGGGAGCGAACAGGCUUAGAUACCCUGGUAGUCCACGCUGUAAACGGUGGGUACUAGGUGUGGGGUCCAUUCCACGGGUUCCGUGCCGUAGCUAACGCUUUAAGUACCCCGCCUGGGGAGUACGGCCGCGAGGCUAAAACUCAAAGGAAUUGACGGGGCCCCGCACAAGCGGCGGAGCAUGCGGAUUAAUUCGAUGCAACGCGUAGAACCUUACCUGGGUUUGACAUGGAUCGGGAGCGCUCAGAGAUGGGUGUGCCUCUUUUGGGGUCGGUUCACAGGUGGUGCAUGGCUGUCGUCAGCUCGUGUCGUGAGAUGUUGGGUUAAGUCCCGCAACGAGCGCAACCCUUGUUCACUGUUGCCAGCACGUUAUGGUGGGGACUCAGUGGAGACCGCCGGGGUCAACUCGGAGGAAGGUGGGGAUGACGUCAAGUCAUCAUGCCCCUUAUGUCCAGGGCUUCACGCAUGCUACAAUGGCUGGUACAGAGAGUGGCGAGCCUGUGAGGGUGAGCGAAUCUCGGAAAGCCGGUCUCAGUUCGGAUUGGGGUCUGCAACUCGACCUCAUGAAGUCGGAGUCGCUAGUAAUCGCAGAUCAGCAACGCUGCGGUGAAUACGUUCCCGGG
rnacentral:rRNA from 1 species